UACAGAGGGUGCGAGCGUUAAUCGGAAUUACUGGGCGUAAAGCGCGCGUAGGCGGCUUUGCAAGUCGGGUGUGAAAUCCCCAGGCUUAACCUGGGAACUGCAUUCGAGACUGCAUUGCUAGAGUAUGGGAGAGGGAAGUGGAAUUUCCGGUGUAGCGGUGAAAUGCGUAGAUAUCUGGAGGAAUACCGGUGGCGAAGGCGGCAUCCUGGACCGGCAUUGACGCUGAGGAGCGAAAGCCAGGGGAGCAAACGGG
rnacentral:rRNA from 1 species